CAGAGGGGGUGGGAAUUCCACGUGUAGCAGUGAAAUGCGUAGAGAUAUGGAGGAACACCAAUGGCGAAGGCAGCCCCCUGGGUCGAUACUGACGCUCAUGCACGAAAGCGUGGGUAGCAACCAGGAUUAGAUACCCUGGUAGUCCACGCCCUAAACGAUGUCAACUAGGUGUUGGGUGGGUAAAACCUUUUAGUGCCGUAGCUAACG
rnacentral:rRNA from 1 species